GGACUACUGGGGUAUCUAAUCCUGUUUGCUCCCCACGCUUUCGUGCCUGAGCGUCAGUAUCAUCCCAGGGGGCUGCCUUCGCCAUCGGUGUUCCUCCACAUCUCUACGCAUUUCACUGCUACACGUGGAAUUCCACCCCCCUCUGACGUACUCUAGUCUGCCAGUAACAAGCGCAAUUCCCAGGUUAAGCCCGGGGAUUUCACACCUGUCUUAACAAACCGCCUACGCACGCUUUACGCCCAGUAAUUCCGAUUAACGCUCGCACCCUACGUAUUACCGCGGCUGCUGGCAC
rnacentral:rRNA from 1 species